CAGCCGCCGCGGUAAUACGUAGGGUGCGAGCGUUCCUCGGAUUUACUGGGCGUAAAGCGUGCGCAGGCGGCCCGUUAAGACAGGUGUGAAAUCCCUGGGCUCAACCUAGGAAUUGCGCUUGUGACUGGCGGGCUCGAGUACGGUAGAGGGGGGUGGAAUUCCUGGUGUAGCAGUGAAAUGCGUAGAGAUCAGGAGGAACACCGAUGGCGAAGGCAGCCCCCUGGGCCUGUACUGACGCUCAUGCACGAAAGCGUGGGGAGCAAACAGGAUUAGAUACCCUGGUAGUCCACGCCCUAAACGAUGGGUACUAGCCGUUUGGUGCGCGAUAGCGCUGAGUGGCGAAGCUAACGCGUGAAGUACCCCGCCUGGGGAGUACGGCCGCAAGGUUGAAACUUAAAGGAAUUGGCGGG
rnacentral:rRNA from 1 species